GCAGUCGUGGCUGAGUGUUAAAGCGAUGGACUAGAAAUCCAUUGGGGUCUCCCCGCACAGGUUCGAAUCCUGUCGACUGCG
rnacentral:tRNA from 1 species